rnacentral:rRNA from 1 species
CUUGCUCCUCUGAUUUAGCGGCGGACGGGUGAGUAACACGUGGGUAACCUGCCUGUAAGACGGGGAUAACUCCGGGAAACCGGAGCUAAUACCGGAUGAUAACGAGAAGCGCCUGCUUCUUUUUUGAAAGUCGGUUUCGGCUGACGCUUACAGAUGGGCCCGCGGCGCAUUAGCUAGUUGGUGAGGUAACGGCUCACCAAGGCGACGAUGCGUAGCCGACCUGAGAGGGUGAUCGGCCACACUGGGACUGAGACACGGCCCAGACUCCUACGGGAGGCAGCAGUAGGGAAUCUUCGGCAAUGGACGAAAGUCUGACCGAGCAACGCCGCGUGAGCGAUGAAGGCCUUCGGGUCGUAAAGCUCUGUUGUCAGAGAAGAACAAGUACCGGAGUAACUGCCGGUACCUUGACGGUACCUGACCAGAAAGCCACGGCUAACUACGUGCCAGCAGCCGCGGUAAUACGUAGGUGGCAAGCGUUAUCCGGAAUUAUUGGGCGUAAAGCGCGCGCAGGCGGUCUUUUAAGUCUGAUGUGAAAGCCCACGGCUCAACCGUGGAGGGUCAUUGGAAACUGGGGGACUUGAGUGCAGGAGAGAAAAGUGGAAUUCCACGUGUAGCGGUGA